ACGCCAUCGAAUGACAUGGAUCAGACGGUUGGAAAAGUUUUCCAAAGGCAAUUUAGUACGAAUAGCAGAAUAGUUUAUCGUCGAUUUUUGGAAUCUUACUGUCAGUUCUAUCAUCAACGAUCGAGCCCUAAGUUAAAUCAGCAAGACUAAGAUGUUGUAUGUUAUGUAGACAUCAUAGAGCGGUCAAAUUGCAUCGCCGGCAUGUAUAACGUCCAGCAUUACAGUGUGAAUAUUCUACAUGUGCUAUCUCUAUUAAUAAGAAUAUGCAUCGGUAAUAGUAUGUUAGAAAAUGUUAUUACCUGUAAAUGAUAGUAAAUGUUCAAUUUCGACUUUGCAUCACUUUAUAUAGAAAUAUUAAGUAUCUUCUAUAUCUAUGCCAAUACAAGACGAAAAUGUAUACUACUAUUGGUUUGCGACGACGUAUAAACUUUGCGUUUUGUUAUUUAGUUUAGUUUCUUGUCUUUUUAUUACAUUGUUGUUGAGCUUUAGAUUUGCAAAAAGAUGGAAGGAAUAUACACGAAAGCGCGGUGGAGGAGAACAGCGCGCCAACGAACCAGUAAUGAAACGCAAUGUACCGCCGCCACCACCGCAUUAUCUUUAGAUAUAAUGAAAUGACCAAAAUAUUUGUUGCUUUUGCUGUUAUUGUGAAUCACGCAUAGCGCAAGCAGUGAACGAUGCAGGAAUUCUGUUGGAUAUUUUGGCAUUGAUGGCAUGGGAAUGCUAUCGUACAGCUGCAAAUUAUAUUAGUUGGACGAAUGAAGUGUUUAGUAUUUGAGAUUUUUAUUUUUGUUACGAUUAGUGAAUCUUAUAAAGUAAAUGUAAAAUAGUUUAGGAAAAAUAGUGAACAGUAGGAAACUUUUAUUAGGCAAAA
rnacentral:lncRNA from 1 species